ensembl:lncRNA
CUCUGGACUCUAAGCUGCUGCCCUCAGGAGCUCCAUGGUUGGUGCAGAGACCUUCAGACUCACCUCCUCUGUUUGCAGCAAUAAGUCCCUGCCCGGGCUGCACCUGCUGCCCUGCAGUCCCCGGCCUGGCUUUUCCCCCUCCACAGAGUGAGGCCUUGCCUUCUGCAGCACAACAAAAUGAAACAACUAGGAACAUGAAAAAGCACGGCAACUAAACGCCUCCCAAGUCUCCCAAGCGUCCCAAGGCAGACCCAAAGGGUGCUGAUGGAGAGGAAAUCAAGCAGCAGACAUUCUGAGCUGCAGAAAACGAUCAAAGAAGAAGCAAAGAAACUCAGCUCAAAGGUGACACAGCCCUAAGACAGCAGAACAAACUGACCCAUGUGGCUAUGGAAGAAACAAAGAAUGGGCAGAGGCUCCGGGGCAGAAAGCGUGAGAAUUUCAUGACAUCAACCACGCAGAGCCCUUGGUGAGCAGCUUUGCUCAGCCGCCCCCUCUCCACCGUGAUGUUCCUGCCUCAGCACAGGCCUAGAAGCAAUGGAGCUGGCUGAUCAGUCCCAGCCAGAAACCUCCAAAACCAUGAGCAACAUAAACCUCUCCUCUUGUGACUUUUGACUGUCUCAGGUUGCUGGACCAGGACCACUUAGCACAACCCACCCCACUCCACUGUGACUGGAAGCGGCCCAGAUCCGAGCUGGUGGCUUUCUGCUACGCAUCCCGAGGGUACCGCACCAGGCCCCGACGUGGCAGAGGACACCCAGCUCGCAGAUGUCACCUCCCGUGUAAACGUGUCACCAGAGCGGCCGGGACCUCCUGGAAGCCAGCAGUCCAGCCAGCUGUCAUGUCACUGGGGACAUUAUCCACGAGAUGCGACCCCCUGGAACGACAGCGCCCACGUCCUGAGUGCUUGGCUGGAGCAGCCUCGGUGCCGAGCACCCACUCAGUCAUUUCCAGUCCUUGUCCUCAUGCAUUCCUGCCAAGCGGAGGAGGCCACCAAGGCUCCGCCACACUGUGAAGUGUCCAGGUUGGGGCUGAGCAUCAGGGCAGGCUCCCUCCAGACGCCGGCAAAAGGCCCAGCACUUUCCUCAACCACCACUGUCUAACCUGCAGCCCCUCCUUUUUGGCACUCUUGUUUGUCUUGAGUGAAGAGGAAUUGUCUUGGGCUGCAUAUAAAAUAAAUAUUCUAGUAGCCAGAUGUGGUGGCACAUGUCUAAUCCCAGCACUCCGACUGUGGGAGGCUGAGGGAGGAGAAUCAUGAGUUUGCGCUCAGGUUGGGAAACUUGGUGACUUAGCAAGACCCUAUCUCAAAAUAAGACAUUUUUGGGCCAGAAUUUGGGAUAUAACUCAAUGUGAAGAUUUUGGGUUCAUCCCUGAUCUCUCUCUCUCUCUCUCUCACACACACAUACAUACACACAUUUGAAAGAUAUUUUUAUGAUAACAUUUUAAAAAGUGAGGAAAAGAAAGUUAGGCCAUACGUGG